rnacentral:rRNA from 1 species
AACGAACGCUGGCGGCAGGCUUAACACAUGCAAGUCGAGCGCCCCGCAAGGGGAGCGGCAGACGGGUGAGUAACGCGUGGGAAUCUACCCUUUUCUACGGAAUAACGCAGGGAAACUUGUGCUAAUACCGUAUAAGCCCUUCGGGGGAAAGAUUUAUCGGGAAAGGAUGAGCCCGCGUUGGAUUAGCUAGUUGGUGGGGUAAAGGCCUACCAAGGCGACGAUCCAUAGCUGGUCUGAGAGGAUGAUCAGCCACAUUGGGACUGAGACACGGCCCAAACUCCUACGGGAGGCAGCAGUGGGGAAUAUUGGACAAUGGGCGCAAGCCUGAUCCAGCCAUGCCGCGUGAGUGAUGAAGGCCCUAGGGCUGUAAAGCUCUUUCACCGGUGAAGAUAAUGACGGUAACCGGAGAAGGAGCCCCGGCUAACUCCGUGCCAGCCGCCGCCGUAAGAC